rnacentral:rRNA from 1 species
UACGAAGGGGCUAGCGUUGCUCGGAAUCACUGGGCGUAAAGGGUGCGUAGGCGGGUCUUUAAGUCAGGGGUGAAAUCCUGGAGCUCAACUCCAGAACUGCCUUUGAUACUGAAGAUCUUGAGUUCGGGAGAGGUGAGUGGAACUGCGAGUGUAGAGGUGAAAUUCGUAGAUAUUCGCAAGAACACCAGUGGCGAAGGCGGCUCACUGGCC